rnacentral:rRNA from 1 species
UACGAGGGGGGCAAGCGUUGUUCGGAAUUAUUGGGCGUAAAGAGCGCGCAGGCGGUAUGACAAGUCAGAUGUGAAAGAGGCCGGCUUAACCGGCAAGGGUCAUUUGAAACUGUCAGACUAGAGUGCAGCAGAGGAUAGUGGAAUUCCCGGUGUAGUGGUGAAAUGCGUAGAUAUCGGGAGGAACACCAGUGGCGAAGGCGACUAUCUGGGCUGCAACUGACGCUGAGGCGCGAAGGCUAGGGUAGCAAACAGG